GCCCGCUCAGAAACUACAAAGGAAUUGACGGGGGCCCGCACAAGCGGUGGAGUAUGUGGUUUAAUUCGAUGCAACGCGAAGAACCUUACCUGGUCUUGACAUCCCGGAGACCCUUAGGAAACUAGGGGGUGCUUCCAUCUGGAAGAAUCUGGAGACAGGUGCUGCAUGGCUGUCGUCAGCUCGUGUCGUGAGACGUUGGGUUAAGUCCCGCAACGAGCGCAACCCUUGCCUUUAGUUGCCAGCAGUUCGGCUGGGCACUCUAAAGGGACUGCCGGUGUUAAACCGGAGGAAGGUGGGGAUGACGUCAAGUCCUCAUGGCCUUUAUGACCAGGGCUACACACGUACUACAAUGGCCGAUACAAAGGGCAGCGACACUGCGAGGUGAAGCCAAUCCCGUAAAAUCGGUCUCAGUCCGGAUUGGAGUCUGCAACUCGACUCCAUGAAGUUGGAAUCGCUAGUAAUCGUGGAUCAGCAUGCCACGGUGAAUACGUUCCCGGGCCUU
rnacentral:rRNA from 1 species